AGCAAUCUGUGUGGGCAUGUUUGGGGUAAACCAUAUUUGAGGCGGGUAAGAUAAACUCGGUGGCACAGUUUAGGCAACAUGAGUCGUCUGAGGAUACUAUCAUCCAGCCUGAGCAUUGGGAACCUGAGGUGCCCCUGUUUGCACAUGCUGGAGUGCAGGAUUGGUAGGUGUUGAUAUUUGUAAAUAUAGUAUUAAGAAUAUU
rnacentral:lncRNA from 1 species